rnacentral:misc_RNA from 1 species
AAAAAAAAAAAAAAAAAACCUGAUCACCAACAAUUCUAUCCUUACUGAAGGGGGACUCAAAAUGCAACCCUUUUAAUAUACACACUCUACAAAAAGAGGAAAAGGUUUCCAAGCCUUCGCUCACACUCUUUUGACCAAAGUAACAACAGGCUGAUGCAUGACCUCAAAAGCCCAAAUGAAUAAUAAUGUUUGCAAGAAAGAAUUGAUAAUCAAAUAGUUGAAACCCAAGAAGCUUCAGCCUAGCAAACUUCCAUUGCAUUCGAUUUUGUCAUGAUCCAAAACACUACGAUGAUAGAAUGGAUUGCAAUGCUAUCUGCUGCUGAGGCUGCAGGGAAGACCAUGUUGAGGCCAGGGUGGCUGGUGGUAAUGUUUGCUGAAGCUGCCUCAGCAGAUUAAUCAUCCUACUGGCUGUUUGUUCAGUAGCAAGGUCCUUACCAGUACAUAGAACCUCAGCAAAAACUGAUACAAUUUUUGGAAGGUUCUGAUUGUUAGGACCCAGAAGUUCUACAUCUGACCUUUCAACCAUUGAACAGAGUUGAUCAUGAACAACCUUGGCCUCUAUCAGGUCACCUUUUAUAGGCAGGCAAUUCAACCAAGCAGGAACAACCUGGGCUGAGUCAAUACUGUCGCGAUGAAACUGACAUAUCUUCCCCAGUGCUGAAACAGCAUUAUCAUAUGCCAUAACAUUCUCGGGUUGAAGAGCAUUGGGAUGCCCUAUAACUACGUUCAGCCUUGAAAGAGCCUCUCCAACAAGA